UACAGAGGUCUCAAGCGUUGUUCGGAUUCAUUGGGCGUAAAGCGCGCGUAGGCGGCCCCGUAAGUCCGCUGUGAAAGUCAAAGGCUCAACCUUUGAAAGCCGGUGGAUACUGUGGGGCUAGAGUCCGGAAGAGGCGAGUGGAAUUCCUGGUGUAGCAGUGAAAUGCGUAGAGAUGUGGAGGAACACCGAUGGCGAAGGCAGCCCCCUGGGUCAAGACUGACGCUCAUGCACGAAAGCGUGGGGAGCAAACAGG
rnacentral:rRNA from 1 species